UACGGAGGGUGCAAACGUUGCUCGGAAUCAUUGGGCGUAAAGCGCACGUAGGCGGCGCGUUAAGUCGGAUGUGAAAGCCCCGGGCUCAACCCGGGAAGUGCAUACGAAACUGGCGCGCUUGAAUAUGGAAGAGGGUCGCGGAAUUCCCGGUGUAGAGGUGAAAUUCGUAGAUAUCGGGAGGAACACCCGUGGUGCAGACGGCUUGCUGGACCGUGACUGACGCUGAGGCACGAAAGCGUGGGUAGCAAACAGG
rnacentral:rRNA from 1 species